rnacentral:misc_RNA from 1 species
GAUGAAGAACGUAGCGAAAUGCGAUAAGUAGUGUGAAUUGCAGAAUUCAGUGAAUCAUCGAAUCUUUUAACGCACAUUGCGCCCCUUGGUAUCCCGAGGGGCAUGCCUGUUCGAGCGUCAUUUCACCACUCAAGCCUGGCUUGGUGUUGGGCGACGUCCCCUUUAGGGACGCGCCUCGAAACGCUCGGCGGCGUGGCACCGGCUUUAAGCGUAGCAGAAUCUUUCGCUUUGGAAGUCGGGGCCCCGCCUGCCGGAAUACCUACUCGUAAGGUUGACCUCGGAUCAGGCAGGGAUACCCGCUGAACUUAAGCAUAUCAAUAAGCGGAGGA